CUGGGACUUGAGAUUCCAGGUACCAGGAUGAUCUUCAGAUUCUCGUGACCUCACUGCUAAUCGUAGCAAUACAAACAAACAUGGUAUAGACAAAAUUAACAUCCCACCAUACAUAAGAAUAAACUGAAUGAUAGUAAUCUACGCGUCGCUACAAGAUCGUGGGUUCAAGAACCGCUAAAUUCGGGGUUAGGGUCAUGAAGUUAUGGUUUUUCGAAAAUCCACGUGGUUAAAUAUAGAAUAGAUUAAGUGCAACAUUUUAACCUAUAUUUCAUGACAAAACAAAGUCACCAGAUGAUAAUAAAUAUUAUUGUGAGACUAAUGCAACUAGAAUAGAUCAAAACGGAGUUAGAAUGAAUUAAAUAUGAAUUAAACAAGUUUAUGGAUUUAUUUUUAUACUAAAAACCUAUUUUCUUUAUUAAAUUCUGAAUUUCCUAGCGGUUCUGGACUGUGCACAAUAUUUCUUAAGAGAUCAGGGGCUAACUCGCAAUUUCGCCCAAGACUCAGACUAACUCUUAAGUGGACGGCGGCUUUAUUCUACAGAACAGCAAGGGUUUAUUUGCAAAUAGCGCAUGGUGAAGGGGUACGGGUAAACCCCAGCCGCCAGAUCUUAAUCCGAGGGCCCAAAAACCACAUAAUCGAAAGGGUUUCAGCCAUUUUAAUCACAGCCAUCCGCGGCUGGAUCAACGGAUCAGAUUGGGCGAUAAAACUCUACGCCCAGGAUGUAAUCCACACCUUCGAUUUCGUCAUCCACGAUCAGUACACCUUCUUCUAUCUCUCGUGGGAAAACUGGGCAGCGGCGCCCGGUACCUGCGCUGACCACGGCGGCGCCAUUGCCGCAGCGCCCAGCACCCGACCUGAGCUACGAUUCCUUGAUCCUAUCGGUGCUACGCCUAGCGAAGGUUGAAGCGAGUUUGUAGAAGAGGAUUUAGCGGAGGGUUUCUCACCGUGAGUCGUGCGCACCGAGGCUCGGUCCCCAUCAGAGUUGCGGCAUCGCGGCAAGAGAUUCCCCAUGGUCCGAGGCUGACCUCGUCGAAUUGGGGUCUCGCAAAGCCUGCCCACAAUCCCACCAACUGGUCCAUGAACACUGAGCACCGAUGAAGGUUCGUGCCCAUGGCGGCGGCAUCCAUUCCGUCCAACCAUACGACGCGUCAGGAAGAGGCUAGUCUGGCCAUGCAGCACGGCGAGUCUGCGGUGGCGAUCUGUCUGUUUCUCUCUCGUUGUUUCCCUCCUCUCUUUGUUUACUAUGGCUCUUGGAUCGGCUCCAAAUCCAGCGUCAAUUGAUGGCGUAUUUACGGAAGGUGUACAGGUGCCAAUAUUUAUAUGCACGUUAAUUUUGCCAGUAACAGAAACCGAGUCUCGCGGGGGAUUUUAUUUUUUCGGUUUGUCACGGCGUCGAGAUGCAUGAAGAGCUGCUGUUGCAACGGCCCGCGAACUAUACGAUGAUUGUGUCCAAGUUUGUUACAGGCGCGGUAGAAGCUGGUUCAACUAUAGCGGCCCCACGAGUCAUUGAAACGCAGCAUGCAUUAUAGCGAGGAACGACCAGCAUGCAUAGCCUAGAGAAACGGGAGCAGUUUCCCCUGCGGCCCACACGUCAUUGAGAUAUUAAUGACGUCAUAUAUGUGCAAGCGUGAUGCAAGCAUCCGGCUAACUAAUAAAAUAAUAAUAAAAAAACUAGAGAAGAGAUGUGGGCUACGUGCAUUUGGAAAGGGCUAGGCCGAGCGUGUCUUGAGCCUACGGUAGAGAGAGGUAAGGCUUUUUUUCUCCUUUUUGUUUUAUGUUUUUUUUUUAUUUUCAGUUUGUUUCCGUUCUCCGAUUCAAAUUUAAACAUGAGUCUGAAUUCUCAUACUUUUUAUUAAAUACACGAGCAAGAAUCCCAGCAUGAUGAAAAAGUACAAUUGUAUCCAUUUAUUUAUUUUUAUCCUAUUUAAGCAAAUACUUCUAAUUAUGAAACCCAUACUCUCACAAAAAAAAACAUAUUUUGGGAAAAAGAAUUCUAGUGCAUAAAAUUACUUUUGGAGAGUACUUAUAAAUAUAUAUUCCAGUAAAGAGAUAAAUAGAUUCAUAUAGGAAUCCACUUUAUUCAAUAUUUUAUUAGAAAACAAUUCAAAUUUUAGGAGAAUUGGCUUAAGAGGUAGAAAAAUCCUUAUUACGAGAUAUUUUAAUUCGAAAUUCUUGGAGAUUUUUCCUUGAUCUCAAAUCUAUGAUUUUGGGUUAUUACAAAUUCUACCCCCCUUAAAAAUAAUCUCGUCCUCGAGAUUAGUAAGAAAAGGGAUAUACAAAGAUUGUUUUGUAAUUGAGAUUCUAGUUUCUAAUUGGUUCAAUAUGAAGAGUUUUUUUUUCUUUAAUUAGUAGGUUAUUAGAAAAGCAUGGGUAUCUUUUAUGUGUAGCCACCCAAUUAUGUAGGAUAAAAGAUGGGUAGGUUAGGGCAAGAAUAGUUUGUGAUGAGAAAGAUUAUGGUGAGGAAAGGUUUUCAUCACGAAUGGUGGGUCUUGUCUCAUUUGGAGAUCCGGAUUGGCUCUUAUCCUUCCUUGAUGACAUUGAUGUCUUCCUUCUCUGGUCUUGGUCUAAUUGAGUCGAGGUCAGUGUAUUUUAUCGGAGUUGGGGAAAUAUGGUGAAUAUAGAUAGGGGUGAGAUGGACUACAUGACGUAGGUGAGAAGUUUAUUUGAUGUUAAGUGAAAAUAGACAUAUUAUGCAAUCCAUCAUGACUCUAUUGGUUGGGUUAGCUCUACUUAAGGUUAGACUUUGUUAGGUUAGACUAAUCUAUCACAUUAGAUCAGAUCUAGGUUAGAUCGUUAUGACAAGAUAGACUAGAUAAGAUCUAUUUAAUUUAUUUUGGAUUAGAUCCUGAUUGUUACUUUAGGAUGAGAUAAGUAAAAUGGUUAGGAUAAGACAAAUCUUUCAAUAUAAGAUGGACCUAUCAAGAUAAGAGAGAAUCUUUUAAGAUAAGAUGGAUCUAUUAAAAUAUAUUCUAGUGGGGGCUAUUUUUAGUUGAUCUAAUAUAUCUAGUUUAAUAGAUCCAUUUUUAAUACGAAAUAUUAUGUGUUGUCUAUUUUAUAAAUAUUUUUUCCUUAUGUCUAGGUGUAUAUGCAGAUGCAAUUAUGGACAUUACUCCACAACCCAUCACACUCAAUCAAAGAUCCAAAUCAGACAAAUAUCAUAAGAACAAACAUUCAAGCAUACAAAUAUUUACAAAAAUAGUUUUGAUUUUGUCCCUAAGAUGAGGUCUCCUAUUCCUAAAAUCACUUUAGGCACAGGAUUUCAAAGUGUGAAAUCCACAUUUGUCUUUAGAAGGAAAAGGUAAGAAUAAUCAGAGUAAAGCAGAAAUAGAUGAGAAAAGAUUAAGAAAAGUUUAGAAAAGAAUCAGAGUAGCAAAGGUAAGUAGAGAAUGGGUGUCCAGUUCUAUCUAGGUUUCGUCCUACAGUCAACAUUCCUCUGAUACCACUUCUGUAACACCCGGAUUUUAGGGGUCCAAAACCCGGGCGCUAACAUAAACACCAGGUAUGCUGGGACCAAGUCUCACACAUAUGAUGUAAAGUGGCACAGGAUCGAAUGUCACAUCUUUAUAUAUAACAGGAGUUCUAUACAAAAUAAAUAAUUACAUUAUAAGGAGACAACGGUCCAGCAACCCAAAGUUGACUGGGAGACGACGACCUAGACCACUCACGAACUCAUCGCAGCAUCUUCCAUGAGCAUCAUCCUGCAGUACCUGGUCUUGACCUGUGGUGUAUGUGAGACAGCAAGAGUGAGCUCACAUACGUUCAUCGCUCAACAAGUUGUGGGGAAUAAUGUGCAUGAACUCGCCAAAGGUGGGAGCUCACGUGAAGUGUAAGGCUUACCAAAGAGGAUGGUUAGAGCUGAGCAUUGCUUUUAAAGUUGGUCAAAAUUUUAUUAGCAAUUACUAAGUAUAAGUAAAUACCAACCCAAUUAAGUAGUAGAACAAAAGUAACAACAUCACCUGUACAACAUCACCUGCGAUGCAAUGCAUAUGACAAAUUGAGUUUAAUUCCAUAAUUUAAUCAUGUGAGUGUCCGAGCCGCUCAUGACCGUGAGCACGGCUAGUAUACCAGUUUUACACUCUGCAGAGGUUGCGCAUCUUUACCCACAAGUCAUGUUACCCAUCUGCCAAGGGAUCGCGACUUCCCAUACACCUCUACCGAGGAGGCGAGGCAGGGUAACACUACGAGGCCUUUACAAAGUUCCACUAGCUUCAGAAAACCCGCUACAGUUUAUAGGAAGCUCCAAUGCAGGAAUCCCUUGCAGGACCGCCAUCACAGCAAAAUCCUCCCGAGGGCCUCCCCAGGAAUCCCUUGCAGGACCGCCAUCACAGCGAAAUCCUCCCGAGGGCCUCCCCAGGAAUCCCUUGCAGGACCGCCAUCACAGCAAAAUCCUCCCGAGGGCCUCCCUACACUGACCACUCCCCUACUGCCCUUGCCCCUUUCAGGUAAGGUAGUCUUCCACUAGCUUUCCUAAUUAAUCGGCCAAGGGCGUCCCAUUAAACCCUUGUGGUAGCACUGUUUUCCCGGGUGGUUCUCCAUGUUCCAAUUAACAUAAUGAUCUUAUCAUGAACAGUGAUAAUAAACAGAUAAUAAAAGUGUGAUCAUGAAUAAUGUAUCUUCAUACCCAAAACCACAUAAAGCACUAGCAAGUACUACCCAAAAAGUUCAGUGGUAAACAAGGUAUAAAGAUAGACAAACUAGGGUAACCUAUUGGGUCCCAUCAAAAUUAACCUAUGCAGAUCAUUAUGAUUAAUCAGAACAUGAGUAGGUAAAAAGAAGUGAUCAAGGGCACAACUUGCCUGGGACUUGAGAUUCCAGGUACCAGGAUGAUCUUCAGAUUCUCGUGACCUCACUGCUAAUCGUAGCAAUACAAACAAACAUGGUAUAGACAAAAUUAACAUCCCACCAUACAUAAGAAUAAACUGAAUGAUAGUAAUCUACGCGUCGCUACAAGAUCGUGGGUUCAAGAAUCGCUAAAUUCGGGGUUAGGGUCAUGAAGUUAUGGUUUUUCGAAAAUCCACGUGGUUAAAUAUAGAAUAGAUUAAGUGCAACAUUUUAACCUAUAUUUCAUGACAAAACAAAGUCACCAGAUGAUAAUAAAUAUUAUUGUGAGACUAAUGCAACUAGAAUAGAUCAAAACGGAGUUAGAAUGAAUUAAAUAUGAAUUAAACAAGUUUAUGGAUUUAUUUUUAUACUAAAAACCUAUUUUCUUUAUUAAAUUCUGAAUUUCCUAGCGGUUCUGGACUGUGCACAAUAUUUCUUAAGAGAUCAGGGGCUAACUCGCAAUUUCGCCCAAGACUCAGACUAACUCUUAAGUGGACGGCGGCUUUAUUCUACAGAACAGCAAGGGUUUAUUUGCAAAUAGCGCAUGGUGAAGGGGUACGGGUAAACCCCAGCCGCCAGAUCUUAAUCCGAGGGCCCAAAAACCACAUAAUCGAAAGGGUUUCAGCCAUUUUAAUCACAGCCAUCCGCGGCUGGAUCAACGGAUCAGAUUGGGCGAUAAAACUCUACGCCCAGGAUGUAAUCCACACCUUCGAUUUCGUCAUCCACGAUCAGUACACCUUCUUCUAUCUCUCGUGGGAAAACUGGGCAGCGGCGCCCGGUACCUGCGCUGACCACGGCGGCGCCAUUGCCGCAGCGCCCAGCACCCGACCUGAGCUACGAUUCCUUGAUCCUAUCGGUGCUACGCCUAGCGAAGGUUGAAGCGAGUUUGUAGAAGAGGAUUUAGCGGAGGGUUUCUCACCGUGAGUCGUGCGCACCGAGGCUCGGUCCCCAUCAGAGUUGCGGCAUCGCGGCAAGAGAUUCCCCAUGGUCCGAGGCUGACCUCGUCGAAUUGGGGUCUCGCAAAGCCUGCCCACAAUCCCACCAACUGGUCCAUGAACACUGAGCACCGAUGAAGGUUCGUGCCCAUGGCGGCGGCAUCCAUUCCGUCCAACCAUACGACGCGUCAGGAAGAGGCUAGUCUGGCCAUGCAGCACGGCGAGUCUGCGGUGGCGAUCUGUCUGUUUCUCUCUCGUUGUUUCCCUCCUCUCUUUGUUUACUAUGGCUCUUGGAUCGGCUCCAAAUCCAGCGUCAAUUGAUGGCGUAUUUACG
rnacentral:lncRNA from 1 species